UACGGGGGGGGUAAGCGUUGUUCGGAAUUACUGGGCGUAAAGGGCUCGUAGGCGGCCAACUAAGUCGGACGUGAAAUCCCUCAGCUUAACUGGGGAACUGCGUCCGAUACUGGAUGGCUUGGAUUUGGGAGAGGGAUGCGGAAGUUCCAGGUGUAGCGGUGAAAUGCGUAGAUAUCUGGAGGAACACCGGUGGCGAAGGCGGCAUCCUGGACCAAUAUUGACGCUGAGGAGCGAAAGCCAGGGGAGCAAACGGG
rnacentral:rRNA from 1 species